GCGUACGUGGCGGAAUCGGUAGACGCGCAGGAUUUAGGUUCCUGUGACUUCGGUCGUAGGGGUUCAAGUCCCCUCGUGCGCA
rnacentral:tRNA from 1 species